GCAAGUCGAACGGUAACAGGGUAGAGCUUGCUCUUUUGCUGACGAGUGGCGCACGGGUGCGUAACGCGUAUACAAUCUGCCUUUUACAGGGGGAUAGCCUUUAGAAAUGAAGAUUAAUAUCCCAUGGCAAGUGGACUUGGCAUCAAGACCACUUUAAAGCUUCGGCGGUAAAAGAUGAGUAUGCGUUCUAUUAGCUAGAUGGUGUGGUAACGGCACACCAUGGCAACGAUAGAUAGGGGCCCUGAGAGGGGGAUC
rnacentral:rRNA from 1 species